UCAGUCGGAAGCAUUUGCUUGCGUCCGGGUUGAGGUAGUAGGUUGUAUAGUUUAGAAUUACACCACGGGAGUUAACUAUACAAUCUCCUAGCUUUCCCCGGAGCAUGCACGAUCCAUCGAGAGACGC
rnacentral:pre_miRNA from 17 species